GAAAGUUGGUGGCUCAAAGACGAUCAGAUACCGUCCUAGUCUCAACCAUAAACGAUGCCAACCAGGGAUCGACGGAUGUUGCUUUCAGGACUCGACCAGCACCUUAUGAGAAAUCAAAGUCUUUGGGU
rnacentral:ncRNA from 1 species